CCUACGGGAGGUAGCAGUGGGGAAUAUUGCACAAUGGGGGAAACCCUGAUGCAGCGACGCCGCGUGAGUGAAGAAGUAAUUCGUUAUGUAAAGCUCUAUCAGCAGGGAAGAAAAUGACGGUACCUGAGUAAGAAGCCCCGGCGAACUACGUGCCAGCAGCCGCGGUAAUACGUAGGGGGCAAGCGUUAUCCGGAUUUACUGGGUGGAAAGGGAGCGUAGACGGCAGUGCAAGUCUGGAGUGAAAGGCGGGGGCUCAACCCCCGGACUGCUCUGGAAACUGUACGGCUGGAGUGCAGGAGAGGUAAGUGGAAUUCCUAGUGGAGCGGUGAAAUGCGUAGAUAUUAGGAGGAACACCAGUGGCGAAGGCGGCUUACUGGACUGUAACUGACGUUGAGGCUCGAAAGCGUGGGGAGCAAACAGGAUUAGAUACCCCUGUAGUC
rnacentral:rRNA from 1 species